AAAAGAGUCGUGUGAUUCCAGCUGGGACCAGAGCGGGAGUCGGUUGGACGACGUUAUCCUGUUUCUCGGCUACUCUCCGUUCCAACUACACUGGUAUGGCAUAUACGGUUUCUCCUUCCACGCCCCACCCCCAACCCCACUUUCCCUUCUUUUUUUUUUUUAACCCUUUUACUGAUAAAAUAGAAAAGAAUGAAAUUUUGAGGGAGAAUAAAUCAAUAAUAAUCCGAUCCCAUGUAUCCACCCUCAUACAGAUCGUUAUUAGUUUUUCUUCUUUCUUAUGUAUAUAUAGCUAGCCAG
rnacentral:lncRNA from 1 species